UACGUAGGGGGCAAGCGUUGUCCGGAUUUACUGGGCGUAAAGAGCGUGUAGGCGGCCAAACAGGUCCGUUGUGAAAACUGGAGGCUCAACCUCCAGACGUCGACGGAAACCGUGUGGCUAGAGUCCGGAAGAGGAGAGUGGAAUUCCUGGUGUAGCGGUGAAAUGCGUAGAGAUCAGGAAGAACAUCGGUGGCGAAGGCGCUCUGCUGGACCAUAACUGACACUCAGGGACGAAAGCUAGGGGAGCGAAUGGG
rnacentral:rRNA from 1 species